AUGUGUAAUUUUCUUUUCAGAUCGUAUAAAUCUUUCGCCUUUUACUAAAGAUUUCCGUGGAGAGGAGUAUUUAGGUGCUUUUCAGACAAAUA
rnacentral:snRNA from 1 species